CCGCCGUCCAAGGAGUCCAUCGGGUGGCCCAUGCUGUUAGGGCCACCCAAUGGAGAUGGAUUGUCAGGGUGCCCGGUCAGCGCUGGGCACUUUAACAGCGCGACCGGUCCCCCUGUGAUGACAUCACACGCUGGGAGGAAGUGACUGCCCCGGUCACUCCUCCCAGCAAUUACACAGAGCCUGCGUGGGUGGAAGCAGAGGGAACUCUGAC